rnacentral:rRNA from 1 species
ACUCCGUGCCAGCAGCCGCGGUAAUACGGAGGGGGUUAGCGUUGUUCGGAAUUACUGGGCGUAAAGCGCACGUAGGCGGAUUAGAAAGUUGGGGGUGAAAUCCCGGGGCUCAACCCCGGAACUGCCUCCAAAACUGCUAGUCUAGAGUUCGAGAGAGGUGAGUGGAAUUCCGAGUGUAGAGGUGAAAUUCGUAGAUAUUCGGAGGAACACCAGUGGCGAAGGCGGCUCACUGGCUCGAUACUGACGCUGAGGUGCGAAAGUGUGGGGAGCAAACAGGAUUAGAUACCCUGGUAGUCCACACCGUAAACGAUGAAUGCCAGUCGUCGGAUAGUAUACUAUUCGGUGACACACCUAACGGAUUAAGCAUUCCGCCUGGGGAGUACGGUCGCAAGAUUAAAACUCAAA